rnacentral:tRNA from 1 species
GCGGGAAUAGCUCAGGGGUAGAGCAUCGGCUUCCCAAGCCGGUUGUCGCGGGUUCAAAUCCCGUUUCCCGCUCCA